UGUUUCUCGAUUUCCUCCCCGCUCUCUCUCUCCCUGUUCAUAUCUCCCAUUCUCCCCCACCGCUCCGAGCUCCUCCCAGAUCCCCUCACCUUCACUGGAUUGCCCCGCCGGAGCUCCUCCUUACCCUACCCUCUACCCAGAACGAGCUGCCUUGUGCUCUCCCUGUCCAUGUAUAGGGCAAGUGUGCGGCCGGAGACAAAGCUUGCGGCGGCCGAUUUCAAGGGGAGGAUGGAGAUACGGGUGUUGCGGCCUGCCGUCGAGAGGCGCUGCAGGCGGCCGGCGAUCUAUGGCGUGGGGCGGUGGAUCCAGGCACUGGGCUAAGGUAGGCGGCAACAUGCGCCGCUGCUUGGGCGACGAGGCGGCGGGGAACGGAGGCCGGCGUCCAGGUUUGCCGGGGCAUGACCAGGACAGGCUGCUGGUGAGAUGCAGCCUGUGUGGUCGCGCACAUCCGCUUCGAGCUGCGGCUUUCGCGGGAACGGAGCCCCUUCCUCUCCCCCUUUUAGUUUCCUUUUGUCCAACCAACUGACGGACCAGGACAGGCUGCUGUGAGAUGCAGCCUGUGUAUUGUUUUUCUGAAGGUUUUCGGGUGAGUGCGCGGUGUUUCCUGUCAGCGGCGCGGCCGGCCUCCUUCGACAUCGUCUUCUUCAGCUCCGUUUUAGCUUCAUGGCUUGGAGGUAUAUCGGCAGUUGGCCACUUGUCUGGGCCGCGCCGUGGAUGCUCCUGCCGGUCUGUGGCUUUUGGUUCAUCCAAGGGGAUUGCAAAAGCUACCAGCAGGUGCUUCCUUGUGGAAUUUCCUUGUGCUUUAUUGAUGGCUCAGUGGAAGGGUUGUCUGAUCUUGCAUCAAUUCGUACUACAAGCUAGCAGAUAUAGAUGGAUACUGAUCUCUCGAGAUUCAUCAGACCCCUAAACCAAAGAGUAUUUAUAAAGAUGAAGUUGGUGGUUUCCAUCGGGUGGAGGGGGGAGACAGAUAUCUCAUUCCAUUUGUUCUGCAGACUCAAAGCUUGCCUACUAGGCCAUGUUGAUACAACUAUAUUCUCAAGGUUAUGAUACAAGCCAAGGUGGGUCAUUUUGAGCAGUCAUGUUCAGGGUCUGCAGCCAACCUUAAUGUGAUCAUUAGUUAGUUGGUUUCCAUGGACAACUGUUUGUGCAUAUAUAUGCUGGAAGUCAUGUAAACCUAUCUGGAGAUAGAUACAUAAUACAUGCCCCAUGCUGGAAUUGCUAAACCUUCCCAAGCUUCUGCCUGGCUCCUCAAGCAAUCACCCCUGUACCGUGAAAUCAAUGCUCUAUUCUCUGGCCUAAUGGAUUCAUCACAUGACUCUGAAUCAGAUUUGAUCUGUAACAUCUCAUCAAGGAAAAUAGCAUACAGGAUUCUGAUGAUUUCGAAUGUGACUGAUUUUUAAAGUUGUUCCUUGGCAUGGUGUUUUGAGAACGGACUAUUUUUUUCAAUUCUGCUCCAUUUGUGGAUAGAAAACGUUUCUGUCCUUGAUUAUCAAUGAGUUGAGCUGUGAUGAUCUUUGCUGAACUGAAGGUAUAGAGAAGGAGGCAUGGAGGGCCAAACCAGGUCUUUAUAAUGGGAACCAGUACAUGACCGAUUUGAAUUACUCCUUCAGUGUGUACAGAAUAUUCACCCAGGAUAUUAAUAUGCCAGAUGUUGGAUUUUACAAAUGAUACCAUGUCUACAAAACUCAUGGGAUUUCUGUUUUGGGCGCCAAGUCAGAGUUUUCAACAGUUGAAGAAAGAAAUGUUUUGCGGAGACCAUGUCCAGAAAGUUUCAUGGGAUUUGUGUUUGGGGGCGCCACAUCGGAGGAGAGCUUUGACUGUGUAUCAUUCAAGUUGCAUUAGACAGCUGAUACAAUCGUUGCGAGUUCUUGGUAGGAUGUACUUUGAAAUGUAUGUGCACUGGCAUCCCUCACUUAAGUUCUCCUGUGAUGCUGACAGUCAGUAUGUAAGCUAACAUGUUACUUCCAGCUGUUUAGAUGGCAUCGUACCGUGUACUAAAACCUUUAGUAACAACAGUAACUGUUUGGUA